GACGGAGGAGGCUAGCGUUGUUCGGAAUUACUGGGCGUAAAGCGCACGCAGGUGGCGAUACAAGUCGGGUGUGAAAGCCCGGGGCUCAACCCCGGAUGUGCAUUCGAUACUGUAUUGCUUGAGCCCGGAAGAGGAGAGUGGAAUUCCCAGUGUAGAGGUGAAAUUCGUAGAUAUUGGGAAGAACACCAGUGGCGAAGGCGACUCUCUGGUCCGGUGCUGACACUCAGGUGCGAAAGCGUGGGGAGCAAACAGGAUUAGAUACCCUGGUAGUCCACGCCGUAAACGAUGCGCGCUUGAUGUCGGGAGGCUUGCCUCUCGGUGUCGCAGCUAACGCGGUAAGCGCGCCGCCUGGGGAGUACGGCCGCAAGGUUGAA
rnacentral:rRNA from 1 species